rnacentral:lncRNA from 1 species
AAAAAAAGAAAGAAAGAAAGAAAAAAAAUCAACACUCAAACGAAACUGAUCUUCGUACCUUCGCAUCUCCAUUUUGCAACUAUUUUUAACCGCAACCAAAACAGACCUUGUGUAUCAUUAUUUCGAAGGUCAAGGGGGGGGGGGGGGGGAGGGCGGAGAGCACCCUCUUUUAAUUUUCUAAACUUGAAUAUUAAUCAGUACAUACUAAUCAAUUCUGUCCCCUUCAUUGCAGAGAGGACUUUCAGUUUCCUGAGCCAAGAUGAACUAGAAAAGUUGAAGCAAGAAGAAGAAAGAAAAAUAGCAACGUUAUCAAAAGGCGAUUUAAAAUUGCUGCAAACUCACGCAGAAGAUUUUAUGGGUGAAGCAGGUGAAGAAGAUGAGGAAAAUGGACUAUCUGGUUCUGAUGCCUUUGUGAUACAAAACAACAAUGCAAUGCUGGCACCUCUUAAUCAAGAUGUAACCUCCCCUGGAGUCGUUCGAACUGCUAAAGCUGAAAAACGGAUGAAAAAUCGACUUAUUCAAGAUGGCUUGCUUACUGAUGAGGAAUUAGAUAAAGAGCUGUCGCGUGCAGAACAAAGAGCUCUCAAUGCUGAAAACGAGCUGCGUGGAGGCAAGCUCGCUUAAAAUCUCUUGAGCAGGUCAGUUCAUCUUUAUUUUUUUUCUUUGUCAGCAAGAAUGGAACUGCGCUGUACAGUAAUGUGAAAAUUAAAGAUUGGCAAUUGCAGAGAGUCAGAAUUAUGCUAGGGGAGAAUGGUCCCUCAUUUUUUAGGGAACACUGUGCCUUUAAUCUAUCAAAAGUUUUGGAAAGACUAAACCAAUCAUUAUUUCCUCCAUCAAUCAUCACAAAGUCCACAGCAAUUAGUUUCUGUAUUUCCUCCAUGUUCACAUGUAAGCCAGUCA